rnacentral:misc_RNA from 1 species
GCCAAGGAAUUCAACAAAUUUCAUAGUCAAAUAGACAAAUACCUGAGAAGCUUAGGGUUAUGGUUCAGUUUUACUGAAGCGUUCAUUGGGAAAAUUAUAUGGUACUUUCUAGUUCUUUUUUUAUUUUUACUUAUUUGUCCAUUUAUAACACUAGAUAUUUUUGUAAUUCCAUAUUUGCUGGAAAGAUCUAGAUUUCUAUAGAAGUCCUUAUUUAGAGUCCUUGUUGCUUAAGAAUCACUUUUUUGAUUACUUAAAGGGGACGAUUGGUAGUCGGAAUCUGCCAAGAGAAUAACCAGGAACGUUAAAUUCCAGUCUUUGGUUUAUAUGGGGACGUAACAUUCCUAGGAAAGUUUAAUUUCUAAAUUCUAAAUCAAUGAGUACCACCUCUACUUUUCUGUGUAUAUGGAGAAGUACUUUCCCAUCUCAAAGGGU